UGGGCCAUAUUGUGAAAACACUGAUUCUCAUCCAAUCACCAAAGUUAAGCAAUGUCAGGCCUGGUCAGUACUUGGGAGGGUGACCACCUGUAAACACCCAGUGCUGUUGGCU